AAUGCACUAAUUACUCUGUUGAGUUAACAAUAAAGACCGACCCGCAAAAUUCAGACUAUGUUGUUGAGUUGGGUGCAUCACGAAAUUUCGAACCUUGGCGUGCAAAGGAUGAGGAAGCAGAUAAGGAAAAACAAAAAAGAGAAACUGAAGAGAUGGGAGAUGCAAUGAAAUCCUUGGAGAAUAGAACCUUAGAUUCAAAAAAAGAGAUGGACAUCCUUGCUGCCCUUGGAUGAAGUGAAGUCCAUGAGGUCAAGACAAGCAACUAUCUGUGUAGAUGCAAUGCUGGAGAUCUUGCAGCGCUCAGCUGAGGAAAAGGAAAAGAAGUUGGAAGAAGAGGAUGAAGCCUUCAACUUGCUUCCCAGUGCUGUAAAUUGCUUCCCAGUGCUUUAAAGAGUACAUGAUUGAUUUUGCAAUUGUG